rnacentral:lncRNA from 12 species
UGCCUGCCCAAACAUUGGUUCUACUUGUGUGUGUGGUUUUUUUUUUUUUUUUUUUAUUUUUUUUGUUUUUUUGUUUUUUUUUUUUUUUGUCUGUCUCCCCUUUUCCUUUCCCUUAAACCGUCUUGAAAUGGAGUUUGUUGAAGAUAAGGAUUUGUCAUUUGCUAUAUGAGUCUGGUCAAGUGAAACUUCUGAUAAUUUUAAGGAAGUGACUCAAAGUUUUUAGUUGGGGUUUUCCUCACCUGUGAAGACCUAUGUUUACUUAAAAAAAACAAAGAAAAGUAAGCCUUGAUUUCCUGUGAGAUUGACAGAAGGAAGAUUGAUGGAGAUAAAUGACCCAGAAGGAAGUCCUCUUGUCUGAUAUAAAACUCUAGCAAGAAUGAGAAGCCUGACAUGGGGCAAAGAAGGAAUUUCUCUUUGUUGUGGGAAAGACAUGCAGGAGAUAAAAAACAAGAAUAGAAAAAUUCAUGGGAACCAAGCAUGGAGGGCCAACUAUCUGGGCAACUGGUAUGGAAUUGUGGUCACUGAGGCUCCUGGAAAUGACUGCUGCGCCCCUGUGGUAAGUGUGGGAAGCUACUGUCCUGACAGAAAAGCAUUUCAUCCUAGACACAAAACGCUAUAUCAUUCCCUUGGAUUAGAGUGAUAGAUGGCUUUCAAGGGGAAAAUAAAAGACAUACUCACGUGGAUGCUUCA